GGAAAAUUCCAGGGGAAUUGCCACGAGAGGAAAUACUUCAGAGGGGCUUCCCUCCAGCUAAGCCCUGAAUGUGCCAGGAGGUUUCAGCCGGGAGGAAAGGAGCUGUGGAAGAAAAGCAGCCUAAAAAUAGCCAGCGGGGAUCAUCAGGUUUUCCAGCCAAGAAGAACAAGGAGAGAGAUGAGGGAAUCGGGUUCCAAUUCCUAAUGAUUUGGUGGGUGCAGGAAUGAUUUGUGUGUGUUUUCCAGUCCCUUUUGAUUCCUGAGAUGAUUUUAAAAUGAUGGCUUUAGCAAUCAACUAAAUCGGAGAUGUUGUUUUUGAGAGGAAAUGAUGCCAAAUAAAUGCAGAGUUUUGGGUCAGUUUUUGGGAUGAUUUGAGUCAGUUUUUGGGGUCAGUUUGGGUCAUUGUUUGGGGUGAUUUGGGUCAGUUUUGGGUCAGCUUUUGGGGUGAUUGGGGUCAGUUUUGGGUCAGCUUUUGGGAUGAUUUGGGUCAGGUUUUGGGGUCACUUUUGGGAUGAUUU